rnacentral:rRNA from 1 species
UACGUAGGGGGCGAGCGUUGUCCGGAAUUAUUGGGCGUAAAGAGCGUGUAGGCUGUUCGGUAAGUCUGCCGUGAAAACCUGAGGCUCAACCUCGGGCGUGCGGUGGAUACUGCCGGGCUAGAGGACGGUAGAGGCGAGUGGAAUUCCCGGUGUAGUGGUGAAAUGCGUAGAGAUCAGGCGGAACACCCGUGGCGAAGGCAGCCAGCUGGGUCGUCCCUGACGCUGAGGCGCGAAGGCGUGGGGAGCGAACGGG